UACGUAGGGCGCAAGCGUGGUCCGGAAUUAUUGGGCGUAAAGAGCUCGUAGGUGGCUUGUCACGUCGGGUGUGAAAGCUUGGGGCUUAACUCCAGGUCUGCAUUCGAUACGGGCUGGCUAGAGGUAGGUAGGGGAGAACGGAAUUCCUGGUGUAGCGGUGAAAUGCGCAGAUAUCAGGAGGAACACCGGUGGCGAAGGCGGUUCUCUGGGCCUUACCUGACGCUGAGGAGCGAAAGCGUGGGGAGCGAACAGG
rnacentral:rRNA from 1 species